AAAAUUAUAUAUAAAUUGGCAAAAAACAUAUAGAAUCACCCAAUAUGAGAUGAUUAUUUAGAUACGAGAGUAGAGAUUGUUACCCAAUGUUGGCUCGAUGGCGUCGUCUUCUUUUCGGCCACCCACCCAUCCAAAAGCCAUUCAUGGCCAGCAAAGAAUAUAUCAUAAUAGACAGAAAUACUUCUCCUCCCCUUCUUUUUUCUCGCCUUUAUGCGAAGGGCAUAGCAUGUAUUGAUAGUUUCUGGAUUUAAGGGUUGAUGGUGACCAUUUAUGUUUCUAAUGAUUAGUGAUGCUAUUGCCUCUUCCCCAUUUGGCAUAGCAUAGCAUAGCGUAUCAUAUCUUGAGGUGGCGGCGGCGGCGGUAAUGGAGCGUCGUCCAGUGGCCGCUGCCACCAUCUUGAGAUUUGAUACGUUAUGCUUUGCCAAAUGGGAUAGAGGCUAUAGUAUCACUAAUCAACGGAAACAUAAAUGAUCACUAUCAACUCCUAUAUUCAGAAACUAUAUAUGUAACGAAACGUUCAGGUGGAUAUGUAAUGGAGCCAACUUUUAUAAUUUUAUCAUUAUGCUUGGAAUAUUUUGUGACUUAAUCCAAGUUCGGCACCCCUUCAGUGGAAAUAUGUUGCUAUAUACAAUAUAUAUGUUUAUAUAUAUAUUUGCUUUUCUUUUUUGGAAAACAUUGACGGUACGAGGAUGAUUUUAUUGAUAACGAAAAAGAA
rnacentral:lncRNA from 1 species